rnacentral:lncRNA from 10 species
CGCUGAUGUGUACAGACCACUGCCAUGUGCCCGGCACUGGGGGUGGCAGUGGACAUGGCAGACAAGCCCUCUGCCCUCGUGGAACUUAGAUUCUAGGGGACAGUCCUUUUUGUCCUCCUUUGUAAAAUGGCAACAGUAAUAGCGCUCUCACCAAAUAACGUGAAGAUUAAAUGAGGAAAUGGGUAAAGGGCUUAGCAAUGCUUGAUACAUGGUAAAAUGCUCAAGUAUGCAUUCUCUUCAUUCCACUAUAAUGUAAGCUUUAUUAGGCAAGGAAUUGUAUUGUUUGCGUCUGUGUUCCCAGUGCCUGUGAGCACAGUGCCUGACAUAUAUGAUCUGACCGGCACAUAUUCCCGACUGCCACGAUAAGUUACAUGGGUGUGUAGUAAAA